rnacentral:rRNA from 1 species
AUAGCGUAUAUUAAAGUUGUUGCAGUUAAAAAGCUCGUAGUUGAACUUCAGACCUGGCUGGGCGGUCUGCUUAACGGCAUGUACUGUCUGGCCGAGGCUUACCUCUUGGUGAGCCAGUGUGCCCUUUAUUGGUGUGCAUUGGGGAACCAGGACUUUUACCUUGAGAAAAUUAGAGUGUUCAAAGCAGGCCUAUGCCCGAAUACAUUAGCAUGGAAUAAUAAAAUAGGACGUGCGGUUCUAUUUUGUUGGUUUCUAGAGUCGCCGUAAUGAUUAAUAGGGAUAGUUGGGGGCAUUGGUAUUGAGUCGCUAGAGGUGAAAUUCUUGGAUUUAUUGAAGACUAACUACUG